AAUGAACUGAGUGACCAGAAGGGGGUGGAGUUGGUAGUGGAGGCGGCAGUAUCUUGCUGGAGAUUUUCUGAAGGGGCAGUCUUUUUCUGUGCACUGAAAAUAGGUUGUGGCAGAAGGCCAAAAUGGAUGAACAAGGGUAUCCUGGUGGAGCUCAAACACAGAAGAAAAUGCAAGGUGGAAUUCCCAGGAACAGUAACUGGGACCACAGAGAAACUGAACAGCAGAGCAAGUAAUAGAGCUGCAAAGGAUCCCAGUUUCCUUCUUGAACAAUAUGGAUUACCUUGGAUUCAAACGAAGACCUGUUCAGUGUUGAAGGCCAGAGACAGGAACAAGGCAUAGAGUAAUGCAGCAGCUCCCCAAAAUGAACGUGAUAAUUACUCUAGAUUGGAUUGAUCUGCAUUUACUAAUGCAAAAAAUGUAAUUCCCUGACUUUUCUGGGCAGUCUGUUUCCCCAAGUAAUGAAAAAAAUGUUAUAAUACUGCAAAGAAAGACCUUUUUAAAUAUUAUUUUUAUACACAUUCCAACAAAAUUGGCAGUAGUUGUUGGAGUAAUACACUAAUGUUCUAUCUUAAUCACUAUUUUUAAAGUUCUAAGCAUAGAUAAUCAUACCUUGUAAAGCCACAAUUAAUACAUAUAAUUAUUCAUAGUGGGUUUUUUUAAUAUACAUUUUUCAGUUUCCUCUACCUAUUUUCCUUUAUUUUUUUUUUCCAUAUAUAUUAUUUCUAUUUUCAACAGCCAAAACCUAUGCCUGGUUCUUGAGUUAAAGUUCAACCAUUCUGACUUUAGGUAUUACUUGAAGUGUGGUGUUUUUAACUAAGCCUUUGUCACUAAACUUUAGUGUGCUAAAGUCUUUUCUUCCUUUGUUUUUGUCUGUUGUGUUUGUUUUUGCAAAUGAAGAGAUAACUCUAAAGUAUUUAACACAUUGUUAUCUUCCUUGAAAAGUGUUUUUCAGAGUGAGUGGGGAUCUGAAUGUAGGGAAAUUCCUACAGUAUUCCUGCAACUCACUUUAAUUUCAACCAUGACAUUUUUUAAUUUUUUUUUUAAUCUCAGAUCAGUAUUUAUCUUUUUUCUGUUAUCAAUCACUGGAAGUUUGAGGAAAAAAUAAGUGUUUUAAUGUGGUGCCUUAGCUGAACAAGUGCAUUUUAUUCAGUAAGUGUAAACAGCUUUGUUAAAAUCUCCUACUAUUAAAACAAGGAAU
ensembl:lncRNA